rnacentral:rRNA from 1 species
UACGUAGGGUGCAAGCGUUGUCCGGAAUUAUUGGGCGUAAAGAGCUCGUAGGCGGUUUGUUGCGUCGGCUGUGAAAUCCCGAGGCUCAACCUCGGGUCUGCAGUCGAUACGAGCAAACUAGAGUGUUGCAGGGGAGACUGGAAUUCCUGGUGUAGCGGUGAAAUGCGCAGAUAUCAGGAGGGAACACCGGUGGCGAAGGCGGGUCUCUGGGCAACAACUGACGCUGGGAGG